AUUGAACGCUGGCGGCAGGCUUAACACAUGCAAGUCGAGCGGUAACAGAGAGAAGCUUGCUUCUCUGCUGACGAGCGGCGGACGGGUGAGUAAUGCCUAGGAAUCUGCCUAGUAGUGGGGGAUAACUUGCCGAAAGGUAAGCUAAUACCGCAUACGUCCUACGGGAGAAAGGAGGGGACCUUCGGGCCUUUCGCUAUUAGAUGAGCCUAGGUCGGGUGAGUUAGUUGGUGAGGUAAUGGCUCACCAAGACCGCGAUCCGUAACUGGUCUGGAAGGGUGAUCAGGCACACUGGAACUGAGACACGGUCCAGACUCCUACGGGAGGCAGCAGUGGGGAAUAUUGGACAAUGGGGGGAACCCUGAUCCAGCCAUGCCGCGUGUGUGAAGAAGGUCUUAGGAUUGUAAAGCACUUUAAGUUGGGAGGAAGAGCAGUUAACUAAUAUUUGACUGUUUUGACGUUACCGACAGAAUAAGCACCGGCUAACUUCGUGCCAGCCGCCGCCGUAA
rnacentral:rRNA from 1 species